rnacentral:rRNA from 1 species
UAGGGAAUUUUCGGCAAUGGGCGAAAGCCUGACCGAGCAACGCCGCGUGAGUGAAGAAGGCCUUCGGGUUGUAAAGCUCUGUUAUAAGGGAAGAACGACAGAUACAGGGAAUGGUAUUUGAGUGACGGUACCUUAUCAGAAAGCCACGGCUAACUACGUGCCAGCAGCCGCGGUAAUACGUAGGUGGCGAGCGUUAUCCGGAAUUAUUGGGCGUAAAGGGUGCGUAGGCGGCUAAUUAAGUUUGUAGUCAAAGAUCGAGGCUUAACUUCGAUUCGCUAUGAAAACUGAUUGGCUAGAGUGCAGGAGAGGGCAGUGGAAUUCCAUGUGUAGCGGUAAAAUGCGUAGAUAUAUGGAGGAACACCAGUGGCGAAGGCGGCUGCCUGGCCUGUAACUGACGCUGAGGCACGAAAGCGUGGGGAGCAAAUA